rnacentral:rRNA from 1 species
AUGACACUUAAGUGUAACGUCUAUAGUUUCGGAGUUAUUCUCUCGGAGACACUCAGUGGGCGAAGGAACGGUGGCAUGCAGGGCCUCCUUUCGCAUGCCUGCGGAUUGUGGGAGUCAAACAUGAUCGCGGAACUUCUGGACUCAACAAUGGUACCACUCUUUGAGUCCGAGCCUGAGCUCUUGUCCGAGCUGACACGAUGUAUCCAGAUUGGGCUCCUCUACGUCCAGGAAACUCCUUGUGACAGGCCGACCAUGUCCGCCGUUGUUGCCAUGUUGAUGAGCACGACGUCGCAAAUUGACCGGCCAAGAAGAAUGCCGUCGUUGGAUUGCGAAGGAUUCAUGCCUUCAGAUUCGUCACAUGGGCCCGAGACGGAACUCUUGAGAUCAACUAUGAUCGAUUUGACGUAG